GCAGCACGAGUGAGGGGGGCCCCCUAAACCCUCUGAGGGCGGGGGCCCCUGGAUGGUUGCUGC
rfam:Eimeria tenella Houghton genomic scaffold, Eth_scaff10